rnacentral:lncRNA from 1 species
AUGAUAAAAAUGCUCUAAUAGUACUCUAUUUUUUAUUCUAUAAUAGUGUAAACCUAUUUUUUACUCUAUAUAUAGAGUAAUAUUUUUAUUUUUUGUUCAUCACUCUAUUUUUCACUCUAAAAUAAAGUACCAUUAGAACAACAUUCAAUUCUAUUAUAGAAUUAUUCUAUUUUAGAGGAAAAAUAGAUUAAACCACCCGAGAUGGUGUUAGAAGUGUGUUUCGGAUUCAGAAGCAUUGUGGAAAUAAACAAAGGUUGAAAAGUGAUUAGAAAAAUAGAGGAAAAAAUAGAUUAAACCACCGGAGAUGGUGUUAGAAGUGUGUUUCGGAUUCAGAAGCAUUGUGGAAAUAAACAAUGGUUGAAAAGUGAUUAGACGCAAGCCCAUAUCACACCCACUCUGCCACGCUGCAUCAAA